rnacentral:rRNA from 1 species
CAGCUCUCCGAGUGGUAGGGAUGAUUAUUGGGCUUAAAGCGUCCGUAGCCGGCUUAGCAAGUCUCCUGUUAAAUUCAGCGACCUAAUCGUUGAGCCGCGGGAGAUACUAUUAGGCUAGGAGGCGGGAGAGGUCGACGGUACUUCUGGGGUAGGGGUGAAAUCCUAUAAUCCCGGGAGGACCACCAGUGGCGAAGGCUGUCGACUAGAACGCGCUCGACGGUGAGGGACGAAAGCUGGGGGAGCGAACCGGAUUAGAUACCCGCGUAGUCC